rnacentral:rRNA from 1 species
AGUGAACGCUGGCGGUAGGCCUAACACAUGCAAGUCGAACGGCAGCACAGUAAGAGCUUGCUCUUACGGGUGGCGAGUGGCGGACGGGUGAGGAAUACAUCGGACUCUACUUUUUCGUGGGGGAUAACGUAGGGAAACUUACGCUAAUACCGCAUACGACCUACGGGUGAAAGCAGGGGAUAUUCGCACCUUGCGCGAUUGAAUGAGCCGAUGUCGGAUUAGCUAGUUGGCGGGGUAAAGGCCAACCAAGGCGACGAUACGUAGCUGGUCUGAGAGGAUGAUCGGCCACACUGGAGCUGGGACACGGACCAGACGCCUACGGGAGGGAGCAGUGGGGAAUAUUAGACAAUGGGCGCAAGCCUGAUCCAGCCAGACCGCGUGGGUGAAGGAAGCCUUCGGGUUGUAAAGCCCUUUUGUUGGGAAAGAAAAGCAGCAGGUUAAGACCCCGCUGUUCUGACGGUACCCAAAGAAUAAGCACCGGCUAACUUCGUG